AUUGAACGCUGGCGGCAGGCCUAACACAUGCAAGUCGAGCGAGCGGCGGACGGGUGAGUAAUGUCUGGGCAACUGCCUGAUGGGGGGGGAUAACUACUGGAAACGGUAGCUACUACCGCAUACCAUCAGAUGUGCCCAUAGGGGAUUAGCUAGUUGGUGGGGUAACGGCUCACCUAGGCGACGAUCCCUAGCUGGUAUGAGAGGAUGACCAGCCAAACUGGAACUGAGACACGGUCCAGACUCCUACGGGGGGCAGCAGUGGGGAAUAUUGCACAAUGGGCGGAAGCCUGAUGAAGCCAUGCCGCGUGGGUGAAGAAGGCCUUCGGGUUGUAAAGCACUUUCAGUGGGGAGGCGUUACCCGCAGAAGAAGCACCGGCUAACUCCGUGCCAGCAGCCGCGGUAAUUC
rnacentral:rRNA from 1 species